UUUUUUUUUUUUUUUUUUUUUUUUUUAAACUGUAUUGAUAAAAGAAGGGGCAAGGGUUGUGAGAUUCG
rnacentral:ribozyme from 12 species